GCCAGGCACAGUGGUGCACACCUGGAGUCCCAGCACUUGGGAGGCUGAGGCAGGAGGAUGACUUGAGCCCAGGAUUUCAAGCCCAACCUGGACAACGUAGCAAGACCCUGUCUCAG
rnacentral:sRNA from 1 species